CCACUCCAUGUGCAAGGAGACCCAGGAGACCUGCCACCCCUAGGAGACCCAGGAGACCUGCCACCCCCAGGCAGGGAGGGAGGGCAGUGUGCUUGUUCUGGGUCUGCAGGGUACAGAUGCUGCGGCAGGCCCUGGCUGCAUCCCCCAGGACCCCGGUCUCUCCCUGUGGAUCCCAUCGUCCAGGGCCUCCCCGUGGCCACCCUCUGGUCUCCUUUGGGGUCCCGGCUCUGCCUGCAGCCUGAAGCUCAGGCCCUGGAUCAGUGCUGGCAUCGCUCUCCUCCCAGCCAAGCACCGGCUGCUGAGAAAAACAAGAUUACCACCUGGACGUCACAGUACCAGGUAGGUGACAAAGGUCCUGGGAGGGGCUCACACACAGGCCGCCUGGAAAAAGCUCUGCGUUGGACACAGCUGAGCAGCUUAGGCACCCCGACGGGGCUGACCCUCUGCUGGCUCAGGAGGAAGCACAGAGAC
rnacentral:lncRNA from 1 species